AUGAACGCUGGCGGCGUGCCUAAUACAUGCAAGUCGAGCGAACAGAUAAGGAGCUUGCUCCUUUGACGUUAGCGGCGGACGGGUGAGUAACACGUGGGUAACCUACCUAUAAGACUGGAAUAACUCCGGGAAACCGGGGCUAAUGCCGGAUAACAUUUAGAACCGCAUGGUUCUAAAGUGAAAGAUGGUUUUGCUAUCACUUAUAGAUGGACCCGCGCCGUAUUAGCUAGUUGGUAAGGUAACGGCUUACCAAGGCAACGAUACGUAGCCGACCUGAGAGGGUGAUCGGCCACACUGGAACUGAGACACGGUCCAGACUCCUACGGGAGGCAGCAGUAGGGAAUCUUCCGCAAUGGGCGAAAGCCUGACGGAGCAACGCCGCGUGAGUGAUGAAGGUCUUCGGAUCGUAAAACUCCGUUAUUAGGGAAGAACAAAUGUGUAAGUAACUGUGCACGUCUUGACGGUACCUAAUCAGAAAGCCACGGCUAACUACGUG
rnacentral:rRNA from 1 species